AAGAAAUCGAUUUAUGGACUAGUAUGUCCUUUUCACAUUUGUGGUAUCGAGAGUUUCCAGGUUAGCUCGGGUUGGAGGCCGUCGAGAUAUUAUCACCCUAUCGAGUUAACGUUAUCGGAGUUCAAAUGAAGUUAAAGAGAUACAAUGCUCACAAUUGAUAGAAGAAUUAGAAGAUGAAGGUGAUACAGAAACAACGGGAGUGAUAUGUAUUGAUUGAUUUUUGGAAUUUUUGCACUUCUGUUACAUUUGAAGACAUUUAUGAUGUAUUUGAGACAUUGUUUGUAUUUGGAUAUUAUGUAAGGACUCUAUUUUCUGAAUUUUUUAAACUCGUGUUGAAGUUAUAUUUUAUUUACCAACUAAA